GACGAACGCUGGCGGCGUGCCUAAUACAUGCAAGUAGAACGCUGAAGAGAGGAGCUUGCUCUUCUUGGAUGAGUUGCGAACGGGUGAGUAACGCGUAGGUAACCUGCCUUGUAGCGGGGGAUAACUAUUGGAAACGAUAGCUAAUACCGCAUAACAAUGGAUGACACAUGUCAUUUAUUUGAAAGGGGCAAUUGCUCCACUACAAGAUGGACCUGCGUUGUAUUAGCUAGUAGGUGAGGUAAUGGCUCACCUAGGCGACGAUACAUAGCCGACCUGAGAGGGUGAUCGGCCACACUGGGACUGAGACACGGCCCAGACUCCUACGGGAGGCAGCAGUAGGGAAUCUUCGGCAAUGGGGGCAACCCUGACCGAGCAACGCCGCGUGAGUGAAGAAGGUUUUCGGAUCGUAAAGCCCUGUUGUAAGUCAAGAACGGGUGUGAGAGUGGAAAGUUCACACUGGGACGGUAGCUUACCAGAAAGGGACGGCUAACUACGU
rnacentral:rRNA from 1 species